rnacentral:rRNA from 1 species
GUGCCAGCCGCCGCGGUAAUACGGAGGGUGCAAGCGUUAAUCGGAAUUACUGGGCGUAAAGCGCACGCAGGCGGUUUGUUAAGUCAGAUGUGAAAUCCCCGGGCUCAACCUGGGAACUGCAUUUGAAACUGGCAAGCUAGAGUCUCGUAGAGGGGGGUAGAAUUCCAGGUGUAGCGGUGAAAUGCGUAGAGAUCUGGAGGAAUACCGGUGGCGAAGGCGGCCCCCUGGACGAAGACUGACGCUCAGGUGCGAAAGCGUGGGGAGCAAACAGGAUUAGAUACCCCGGUAGUCC